rnacentral:rRNA from 1 species
CAGUCGCCGCGGGAAUACGAAGGGGGCUAGCGUUACUCGGAAUUACUGGGCGUAAAGGGCGCGUAGGCGGCACGAUUAGUCAGGCGUGAAAUUCCUGGGCUCAACCUGGGGACUGCGCUUGAUACGGUCGAGCUAGAGGAUGGAAGAGGGUCGUGGAAUUCCCAGUGUAGAGGUGAAAUUCGUAGAUAUUGGGAAGAACACCGGUGGCGAAGGCAGCCACCUGGUCCACUUCUGACGCUGAGGCGCGAAAGCGUGGGGAGCGAACAGGAUUAGAUACCCGGGUAGUCCCUGUCUCUUAUAC